CCUAACUAAAGCAUUUACUAGUCCCAGUAUAGGCGAUAGAAAAGACACCAUUGGAGCGAUAGUGACCACGUACCGUAAGGGAAAGAUGAAAUAGCAGUGAAAAACAUAAGCUAAAAACAGCAAAGAUCAGCCCUUGUACCUUUUGCAUCAUGGUCUAGCAAGAAAAACCAAGCAAAAUGAAUUUUAGUUUGCCAUCCCGAAACCCAAGCGAGCUACUUACGAGCAGCUAAUCUUGAGCGAACCCGUCUCUGUUGCAAAAGAGUGGGAUGACUUGUCAGUAGAGGUGAAAAGCCAACCGAGCUGGGUGAUAGCUGGUUGCCUGUGAAACGAAUUUAAGUUCACUCUUAAUUCUUCUCCAAGGAAAAUCAGAACCCUAAUGAAGCGAAUUAAGGGCUAUUUAAAGGAGGUACAGCUCCUUUAAAAAAGAAUACAAUCUCUACGAGCGGAUAAAUAAUCACAAUACAAACUUACUGUGGGCCCUCAAGCAGCCAUCAACAAAGAGUGCGUUAAAGCUCUGUGCUCUAAAAAUACAAGAACUAUAUGACUCCCUCAUCACUAACAGGCUAACCUAUGACAAUAGGAGAAUUAAUGCUAGAAUGAGUAACCAGGGUUCUCCCUCUUCGACGCAAGCUUACAUCAGUACAUUAUUAACAAGCCACCAUAUACGA
rnacentral:rRNA from 1 species